rnacentral:rRNA from 1 species
UACGUAGGGUGCAAGCGUUGUCCGGAAUUAUUGGGCGUAAAGAGCUCGUAGGCGGUCUGUCGCGUCGGAUGUGAAAACCCGGGGCUUAACCCCGGGCCUGCAUUCGAUACGGGCAGACUCGAGUGUGGUAGGGGAGACUGGAACUCCUGGUGUAGCGGUGAAAUGCGUAGAUACUGGGAGGAACACCGGUGGCGAAGGCGGCUACCUGGACAGGUACUGACGCUGAGGCGCGACAGCGUGGGGAGCAAACAGG